AAGCCCACUGAUUUCAGCCUCUCCGUCUCCUUCAAGCCGAUGAGAAGUUCAGGGAUAUUCCUGGGAGUGCCUAUUAUGUGGCUCCGGAGGUGCUGAAGCGGAUAUAUGGAGCCGAUAAUUGCAUAUGGAGUGCUGGAGUUAUACUCUACAUUCUGCUGUCUGGCAUUCCUCCUUUUUGGGCAGCAGGGCAGAUCCUCCUGUGAAGCAUAAAUUUCAUUGUAUCCAAGGAGAUAUCAAAUGC